rnacentral:rRNA from 1 species
AGAGAGAGACAUGCGCGCAUAUCAAUAAGCGGAGGAAAAGAAACUAACAAGGAUUCCCUUAGUAACGGCGAGUGAAGCGGGAAGAGCUCAAAUUUGAAAUCUUCAAGGUUCUACCUUGACGAAUUGUAGUUUAUAGAAGUGUUUUCUGUUAGUGGAGUGGCAAAAGUUCUUUGGAAUAGGACAUCAUAGAGGGUGAGAAUCCCGUAUUUGGUCAUUCCUCCUAGCGUUGUGAUACACUUUCAACGAGUCGGAUUGUUUGGGAAUGCAGUCCAAAAUGGGUGGUAAAUUUCAUCUAAAGCUAAAUAUUGGCGAGAGACCGAUAGCGAACAAGUACCGUGAGGGAAAGAUGAAAAGAACUUUGAAAAGAGAGUUAAACAGGUACGUGAAAUUGUCAAAAGGGAAGCGUUUGACACCAGUGUUGUUUUUCCGAAAAUCAAUUACGAAUGUUUUAUUUUUGAGGAGUUAUGACUUCAUCGGCUUGCUCCUUUCUUUAUGAAACUUUCUUAAUGCACUUUUCGGUUAACAAGUCAACAUCAAUUUCUUUUGUUGUAAAAGGGUAUGAGGAAGGUGGCUUUCUUUUCGGAGAAAGUGUUUAUAGCCUUGUGCCUCUGCAAUCGGAGAGAUUGAGGUCUGCAGCGUAGAUCCUUCGGGGUUAGAUACGUUUGUGCUAAGUUAUAGCUUUUCAUAGACAACUUGUUGACUAUGUUUAGUCUUGUAGCUUACUCGCUGACGCUAUUUUACCUACGCUUAGGAUGUUGAUAGUCACAGCGUGUAC